UUUUGAGCCUCAUGUGGAGAAGAGCCAAAAGAAGAAACUGACUUAACUGUUCAAGAGAAAUUUCAUCUUGCAACUGAGCUCUAGUACAGCUGUUCUGGGGCUUGGGCAAUAAACUGUGACAUAGAAUUUGGGAAGAGCAUCUUCCAUCCCUCCCCUAACUACCCUCUGCCCCUGGUACAGUGAGAUUUGAGAGCACCUGGAAGGAACAGCUCAGAUGUGGAUACUGGCAUUCUCCAUGGGUAAUGGGUGUGGAAAGCUAUCUCCCUGAUGCUCUAUAGGCAGCUGAUAUGGACAGAAGGGAGCUGGAGCUGGAGAGAGGACUGAGCUGAUGCCAUGUGAUGACCACAACUAACAGGCUCAUUUAAGGAAAAUGGCAAAAACUCCCUCAAAGGGAAUCUCAGUUGUUAUUGUGGAAUGGGAAGAAGGACUCUGUAGAGGCUGGUGAGGAUCUGGCUCAAGUGGAAACUCUCAGGCUUGUAGAUAUUGAGACUACACAACCUUCCUCAUCCUGGCAAGCAUAUCUUUAAAAAAUACCAUUUGGGAAACGACUCUCUACAUGAACAGAACCCAGAAGAAAUAUGCCAGGCAGAGAUCUGUGCUUUUCAUGAGAGAAGAUGUGUCUUUGGACUGCAAACUGCAGGGAGUUAAGACUUCCUUGUUAUGUAUGCAUUUAUUCAUACUGUUUUGUGAACUUUGACAUCGCAUGGACUUUGCUUAUCACCUUUGCUUUAUACUGACCAUAGUGACACUGCUCAUCCUUUGAAAAAGAGAAGAUUGAUAAGCUUCAAGAGGAAAACCGAGCCCAGGGUCAAAGGGCUACUGUGUUCACCUGACAGAGGCCUAUCAGACCCAGGAGACAUCGGGCCAUUUCCAGGGAGGAUCAGAAGGAUUUAAUGGAGGCUUCAGCUCUGACUUUCCUUCCAUGAGGUAAGAAAAGCAGACUGCAACAUUGACUAAAAGAAGGGAGGCCCAGAAGAACAGAAGAAGAUUGCAAGAACAAAAUUAAUGGAAAAUAUUCUUUAUUCAUCAAUCUUAAUGAGUAUUUCUUCAACUGAAUUAUACUUCUGAAUAUAAAAUUUUGAAUUUAUCUUCUGAAAUACCAACCAGGAGAUUUCACUCCACCUUUUGAUCCUUAGCCCCUGCAGUGGGAUUGUGCCAGGUAUUUAGUAACAAAGUUUUUACUCCGGAAACCUCAAGUACAAAUCAACCAGACACUGAAAUAACACAGAUCAGGAAUCAGCUUGCUUCUAUGUUCCAAACAAAAGAUAAGUUGUUCCUUUUAGACAAAUAAACCACAUUAAAUUUACUAUAUUACUGUAUCAACAGCAAAUACCAUGUUGAUGGCCAAGAAGAAACAUGUAAUUCUUUUAUUUAAUCUAUCCACUUUGCACAGAUUCCUGAUAAAGUUUAAGAGACCUUUUUUUCUCAUUUUUUUCUUACAUUCUCUUCUAAAAAUGUAUGCCCAUUUCUAUUUUAAGGGAAUCUGGUGAGUUUUUCAUACUAACUCAAUCAUUUUCAUCACUCAAAUACCUUUUUACUUUUAAUCAAUUGGAGACACUCUCCCUGAGUAUACUGAGCUUUCAUCAGGUCAGGCCUCCUCAGACUUCCCCUUUCAUCUCACAAAAUGAUUUCAUCUUCUAAAUAAUGAACACUUUCCAGUAAAUCUUUACAUAGCUUUUUUGGGCAUGUAAUACACAGCAUGAAAUGUUGCAUCAUAAAUCAAAGCUAGCUCUUUUUUUGCACUUUACAAGUCACCUUUGACCUUUAUUAUCUCACAACUUUCACAACCUCAUUAGGUAGUUAUUUUUAUUAUCAAAUUUUAUAGAUGAGAAAAUUAGGGCUCAGAAAUUUGUCUAAGGUGAAACAAUCAAGAUCCAGUUCAGAUCAGAUCCUCUAACUCUAGAUAUUUUUUACUACACCCUAAAAUCUUACCCCUUGUGCUUUGUUGAGAAAAACCUCAAUAUUUGUCAUUAAAAGCUCAGGUUGAUCAUGGACAUCCUUCCAG